UACGAAGGGGGGCUAGCGUUGUUCGGAAUCACUGGGCGUAAAGGGCGCGUAGGCGGCUUGAUAAGUCGGGGGUGAAAAGCCUGGUGGCCUCAACCACAGAAUUGCCUUCGAUACUGUCGAGCUUGAGACCGGAAGAGGUAAGUGGAACUGACGAGUGUAGAGGUGAAAUUCGUAGAUAGUUCGGAAGAACACCGGUGGCGAAGGCGGCUAUCUGGACCGACAUUGAACGCGUGAGG
rnacentral:rRNA from 1 species